rnacentral:rRNA from 1 species
UACGAGAGGCCCAAACGUUAUUCGGAAUUACUGGGCUUACAGAGUUCGUAGGCGGCUCAGAAAGUUGGGUGUGAAAUCCCUCGGCCCAACCGAGGAAUUGCGCUCAAAACUACUGAGCUUGAGGGGUAUAGAGGUAAGCGGAACUGAUGGUGGAGCGGUGAAAUGCGUUGAUAUCAUCAGGAACACCGGUGGCGAAGGCGGCUUACUGGGUACCUCCUGACGCUGAGGAACGAAAGCUAGGGGAGCGAACAGG